AAAUUGAAGAGUUUGAUCAUGGCUCAGAUUGAACGCUGGCGGCAGGCCUAACACAUGCAAGUCGAGCGGUAACACAGGGAGCUUGCUCCUGGGUGACGAGCGGCGGACGGGUGAGUAAUGUCUGGGAAACUGCCUGAUGGAGGGGGAUAACUACUGGAAACGGUAGCUAAUACCGCAUAACGUCGCAAGACCAAAGAGGGGGACCUUCGGGCCUCUUGCCAUCAGAUGUGCCCAGAUGGGAUUAGCUAGUAGGUGGGGUAACGGCUCACCUAGGCGACGAUCCCUAGCUGGUCUGAGAGGAUGACCAGCCACACUGGAACUGAGACACGGUCCAGACUCCUACGGGAGGCAGCAGUGGGGAAUAUUGCACAAUGGGCGCAAGCCUGAUGCAG
rnacentral:rRNA from 1 species